UGUGCGUCGAUUGAUUGCCAACUGGAUCGUUAAGCACGUUGGCAGUGUCUCGAGGCAUAGU
rnacentral:pre_miRNA from 1 species